CAGGGAGGUGGUUGAAUCACUGCCUCUGGGGGUGUUCAAGAAAUGUGUAGAUGUAAUACUAAGAAGGAUGGUGUACUGGGUAACAUUGGUGUUAGGUGGAUGGAGAGACAAGAUGAUCUUAGAGGUCUUUCCCAACCUUAAGGAUUCUAUGAUUCUUUUGCAGUGUUCCAUCAUAGCUUUGGGACUCUGCCUGCUCCUAUCCCAGGUUUCCAGGCAAGCACCAGCACCGCCUACCACAAACCCAGGGUUAUAGCACUGCUAGGGAAGGUGAAGCUGUGCAUGGGAGAAUUUUUUUUUAGUGUCUGCAAAGCCAUUUAACUGGGAUAGACUCUGCCAUGUAUUUCUGGCAGAAUAAUAGAGUAAAAUAUUUGUGUUCAGUCACAUCCAGACUUGUCUGUUCUCUUGUCUCAGAGAUUUUCCAGGUAUUGAGCAGCACUUUACAAAGACUUACUAACUUGAAGAGGCAUUUAAAUAUUCGCUUUCCAGUUCAGCUUGUAUACUCAGGAGGUUUUCCUCAAGUGCUUCAGGAUUUAAUUGCAAUUUCUCCAAAAGCGUUUUUCCACCAGGUGCUUUUUCUACUGCUGGCCAUGCCCUCCCAUGUCUACCCUCACCUCUUAAAGCUUCACCAAGUCUCUCUACACAGCUUCCCGGAAAGGUUAUUGUCUUAUGCUUAAUGGAGAGGAAAAAAAAGGCAGUACAAGAGAUUUACUGCAAAUGGAAGCUAUUACUGGAGCAGUUAUCAAAUGAAAGAACAAUAUAAUAAUGUCUAGCCAUAAAGAUAUGAAGAGUUGCUUGUCAGAGGCAAACACCCAAUGUGUAAAGUAAAUGUGCAUGGCUGCUGCAAGCUCUUUUUGGCAGACAAAUUCAAGUCCUUGCAGCAUAGGUGAAACCCCCAGGUGUUCUGCAGACACUCAGGCUAUAAGAUGAGUAACCAAAGCAGAAGCAGACAGAGUGAGAUGCACUGUCAGCUUUCUCAGAGCUGGAGAUUUACACAAAACAGAGCUUGGCCCCAUCCUGAUGUCCCCAGUGCGCUGCCAUGUUCCCUGCUUAUUUAGGCAUCAGAUGCCUCCAGAAGCUGAAUCGUGUUAUCUCCAGCAGGAUUAUAGCUCAUUGAGGCUGCUGAGCCUGACUAUUGGGUUAAUACUUAAUGAAAUAAUAGCAGAGGGUGUUGAAUUUUGUCUCCCCGUAGACCUGUAAGGUCAAGUCACGUAGGCUAAGGAGCAAAGCUAGAAGACAGCGCUUUCCAGUUGAGAAUUUAGGCACAUACCGUUUUUCUCUUCUCUCCCAAUUUUGCCCUCUCCUGAAGAGCUGGGACAGGAAUUUUCAGGCUUAAAACAACUUCUGUUAACCUUUCCAAAUUAGAAAUACAUGAACUAGUAGAGCAGGAAUUCACAUGACAUCUUCUGCUAACAUAAUAACUGAGGGGUAAAUCCACAGAAACACCAGAACCCCCAGUGAGAAUUGUGGCCUUAAUACAGAGGAAAAGAUCGUGCAUGUUGAGGCUGCAAAAUAUUAAUGCAACCUGAGCACAAGAGCAGUAAAAGAAAAAAAGUAACCUCUGUGGAGCAGCUGUACAUUUUUUCAGAAGUGUUAUAUCAGUGAAUGCUAAUGAGAAAGUCCUCCAACAUCCCAUAGGGACAGAGUGCACUAAUUCAGGUCUAGAGGUGGGUGCCCACAGUCGUACGAGCCUUUCUGUGCCUCUGCCCUCACUCAUCAGAGAGGACUGUUGAAACAUCAAUCUCACCACAUGCUGCUGAGGGACCCAGUGCUAGUAUCCCCUUCUUCAGGUACCCUUGCAACCAGACUGAUUGUUGCCACUACUGCCAAGCUCUCAUGCCAAGUUUAGUUGCUCUCAUAUGACUAGGAUGCCCCUGACUAAUAAUCAUCAGCAUCAGGCACUGGUCAUAUUGCCUCUGCAGGUUUCCUGCAGUAGCACGCACAUAAUUUGCUCACAAAUAAGACAUUAAACUCUGUCUCAUUGUCCCACUCAUCACACAUCUCAUAACUCUUCUCCUUUUAUUUAUAAAGAGAAGCCAAACAUCCUACAGACGUGUGGCAUCAGCUGUGGGUUCAGCCCAGGACUCCAUUGCAAAGAGACCACGGAAAGGUUAUGGAUGUAGCAGGAGCUGCAGGGUGGAGAAAUCUCUACAGCAUGAUGGAGAGCAGACAGGGUCAGCCUCUGACCGCACAUCAGUUUCCUGCUCUAGCCAAUGAAAUCAGCACUGCAAUUACUCCUUACAAACUUGUGGCUCAAAGUCUUUGCUGUGCUCCUGCUUUUUCUUCCAGCAUGAAAUUUUGGACUGAAUAAAAAAUAUUCACAGGCAAACAAGUUUCUACAUCUCUUAAAAUCUCUUUGGGAAUAAAAGAACUCCAAAGCAGUGGGAAAGUGCUUGGUUCUUGUGAGCCCUUCUUAAAGGCACUUUUGUGGCCAGUGCCACCUCUCAUAGGAAAUCUCUUAGCAUCCUGAGAGUCCACAGGGUUUGAGAAUUGAACACUUCUAAGAAAAACACUGUGAGAAAUAUACAUCAUCUGAGUACUCUGGGUCAUCAGGCAGCCCUCAUGAUG